CCGACCUUAGCUCAGUUGGUAGAGCGGAAGACUGUAAAUCUUUAGGUCGCUGGUUCGAUUCCGGCAGGUCGGA
rnacentral:tRNA from 1 species